CCUACGGGUGGCAGCAGUGAGGAAUAUUGGUCAAUGGACGAGAGUCUGAACCAGCCAAGUAGCGUGAAGGAUGACUGCCCUAUGGGUUGUAAACUUCUUUUAUAUGGGAAUAAAAUGUUCCACGUGUGUGAUUUUGUAUGUACCAUAUGAAUAAGGAUCGGCUAACUCCGUGCCAGCAGCCGCGGUAAUACGGAGGAUCCGAGCGUUAUCCGGAUUUAUUGGGUUUAAAGGGAGCGUAGGUGGAUUGUUAAGUCAGUUGUGAAAGUUUGCGGCUCAACCGUAAAAUUGCAGUUGAAACUGGCAGUCUUGAGGACAGUAGAGGUGGGCGGAAUUCGUGGUGUAGCGGUGAAAUGCUUAGAUAUCACGAAGAACUCCGAUUGCGAAGGCAGUUCACUGGACUGCAACUGACACUGAGGCUCGAAAGUGUGGGUAUCAAACAGGAUUAGAUACCCCUGUAGUC
rnacentral:rRNA from 1 species